rnacentral:rRNA from 1 species
UAGGUCCCAAGGGGUGGGCUGUUCGCCCAUUAAAGCGGUACGCGAGCUGGGUUCAGAACGUCGUGAGACAGUUCGGUCCCUAUCCGUCGUGGGCGUAGGAAAUUUGAGAGGAGCUGUCCCUAGUACGAGAGGACCGGGAUGGACAAACCAAUGGUGAACCGGUUGUCACGCCAGUGGCACCGCCGGGUAGCUAAGUUUGGCAGGGAUAAACGCUGAAAGCAUCUAAGUGUGAAGCCCCCCUCAAGAUGAGAUUUCCCCACUAUAUGUGAUAAGACCCCUGGAAGACCACCAGGUUGAUAGGCCGAGAGUGUAAGCAUAGUAAUAUGUUCAGCGGAUCGGUACUAAUAGGUCGAAGAUUUGACCUG